AAAUUUUUAGUUUAUAAAAAAUAUUAAAUUGCAAAUUUAAUGAAAUAUUAAUUUAUAUAAAAUUUU
rnacentral:tRNA from 1 species